rnacentral:rRNA from 1 species
CCUACGGGGGGCAGCAGUGAGGAAUAUUGGUCAAUGGACGCGAGUCUGAACCAGCCAAGUAGCGUGAAGGAUGACUGCCCUAUGGGUUGUAAACUUCUUUUAUAUGGGAAUAAAGUUGUCCACGUGUGGAUUUUUGUAUGUACCAUAUGAAUAAGGAUCGGCUAACUCCGUGCCAGCAGCCGCGGUAAUACGGAGGAUCCGAGCGUUAUCCGGAUUUAUUGGGUUUAAAGGGAGCGUAGGUGGAUUGUUAAGUCAGUUGUGAAAGUUUGCGGCUCAACCGUAAAAUUGCAGUUGAAACUGGCAGUCUUGAGUACAGUAGAGGUGGGCGGAAUUCGUGGUGUAGCGGUGAAAUGCUUAGAUAUCACGAAGAACUCCGAUUGCGAAGGCAGCCUGCUAAGCUGCAACUGACAUUGAGGCUCGAAAG